rfam:Danio rerio chromosome 11, GRCz11 reference primary assembly.
UUUCUCCUCAAUUGUAAGCCGCUUUGGACAAAAGCGUCUGCUAAAUGACUAAAU